AUGUGUUGGUUUUGAUUGGCCAGGAAGAAAAAUGUGUUGGCGUGUGAAACGAGCGCUUCUCUGAGCUUAUGAGCAGUGUAGCAAGGAAGGCUUGCGUCAAUCAAUCAGCCUAAUUUAGGUUGGUGGAGGCCUGAAGGGCAACUAGUGCAAUUCCAGAUCCCCCCACCCCAAGCAAGGCCAACACCGACGCUGCCUCAGGCUCCUCAUCGCCUGGGCCAGGUGCUGGCUGCGUAUAUCCAAGGUGGAGCUGCCCCAGCCUCUCUGGGCCCCGGGCCAGUACCUCGCCAUCCACCUUGCGAAAAAUAUCUUCCUACAUCUAACUGACAUUUCCCUUGUUGCAAUUGCUGAUGUUUUAAGUUUGUAUUUACUUUAUACAGACACUCAGCGUUACACCUACACUGAAUUCAAACCAGGACAAGCCCAGAGCUAUUCUACUGGACUAAAUGGAGCUACAGCAACACGGAAACCAGCAUCCUUAAAUCCACAGCUUUGGGGGCAAGACACAAACCAGCCUUCCAGGCCCCUACACACAUAUAAAGGAUUGGCUACUAUCAUCUACAGUGGUAGCAACAGUUUAAAGUGUAAAACGUGCAUUCACUCGUGUAUCAGCUUAUUCACCGUCUCUUCCGGAACUCAUUUCAUAGCUAUCAGUACACACACAUGAUUUAUAAAGAGAAACUUUCUAUAGGCAGCUUUAUAAUUGCCAAACCCAGCUGAGAGAAAGGUAUUUAUUUCUGGUAGAGAGAAAUAUGUUCUCUACUCAACUGCUGAUUGGUAAUAUUUUUUAAAAGUGUCUUCAGCUAUCAUUCUAGGGUUGGAAACAAUUUGGAGCCAGGCUCCAAUUCCCUAUGCAAGCCUCAAGUCACCUAGAAAAAACUGAUCACAUCAUGGGCAGAGGUAGAAACUUUGUAACAUAGCAGGUGGCGUUGCAGCAGUGACAUCGUUGAUAAAACAGGUAAGACUCGAACUAACUGCUCAAGAUACCUACCACACACCAACAUAUCCAUGUACCUGUUGGUAACUCUGAGCAGGCUUUCACUAAGGAAUUUCAGCCUGUGUUUUCUACCCAGGAGCAAUUCCAGAUUCACUAACCACAAGACCUAGUACGUCCCAAACAGACAAUGUAUAUAUCAGCUCACAGGCAACCGGCAUUGAUCUUAAACAUUCAAGUCAUCUUAUCAUCGCCUCAAUUACUGAUUAAACAGUAAAACGCAGACACGCUAGAAAGUGGUAACAGCCUGUCCGAUGCUGCAUUCCGCUCCCCUUUUCCCUGGCAUCUCGAUUUUGAAUGGAGUUACUUGCAUUUUACUGACAAGUGAAGCUAAUCGGGGAGAAAGCAUGCGUACAUGAGAAAGCGUUUAUAUGUAUACCCAUUAGGCAGAUUCACAAGGUCAUCACCUAAGCUCUUAAUAGAGGGGUCUUCUAGCAUAAGAGCAACAGGUGAAGCGUGCCCUCUGCCAGGGCUACUGGGCUGCGAGCGACAAAACAAUCUCAUCGGCUUCCCAAGGAAAAGCCACGUCUGAAGCACGAUGAAGGAGCCACACCAGGCGCCACCCCCCACCUCUCCUCCUUCAGAGGUGAACAUUUUACAUGGCCAGAACACCAUGUUUUCAUGCAAAACCAACCGACACGAGUCUGAACAGCAGCUGCUUAUCUAGAAUUUCAGGGCAGAGCCUACCCAACUACUCAAAAAACACUUCAGCAUGAAGUGGAAUAAAAAUAUUGCCCCACCCCCCCCCCCUCUUCUUCUUCUCUCCUGUAGCUAUCAGUUUAGGAAAAAUCUUCUGAAGAACAGCCACAUCUCUCAAGGAGUGAAAUUUGCCCAGAUUUCGCUUGGGCAAGUAAGGCACAGAAUUCAAAGCACGUGACCCAAUACAGAAGAAUGAGUUGCUGAAGCUGGCAGUCAAACAAAGAGGACCUGUGGCUGCCAAAGAGUCUUAAUUGCUGCUCGUAACUGACAAAAAGGAAAAAAAAAAAAAAUCUUCCUUUCUGUUUUGCAUUACUAGUGUGGAACAACUGAACCGGAAUAGGUGGGUAAUACCCUGGAAAAAUACCUAUGCUUCAAGUUUUGAUAGCAUCAAAAGCAGUACUAUCUGUCUCUGAACUAAAUCAGAGUACCAAAUGGAACAAUUCCCAUGGAGCUAAAGGUUUCCAUGACACAGCCUUUAAGGUCUUUUCUGUUUUGUCCUUCACCCAAAGAGCAACGGGUGCAGGGCAGGGAAGACUUCUGUUCCAGUCAGGCCUCGUCCAUCGCCUCACUGCUAUAAACUGCGGGUAGGUCCGGCCGUCCGGGACGCUGCUCUACAAAACCAGCGUUUCACACCACCUGUCAUGUAGAAGCCUGUGAUGCAGAGACCACCUGCAUCCACAUGUCCAAGCAGCUUCCUGAAAACAUCAGAAAGCCAGGCCUGCGUAUCAUGAAUUGGGACAACUGAAAAUUGAGGCAUCUAAGAGUAACAGACAUUCAAAAAAAAUCUCAGCUCCAGACUGAGAAUGUCACCCUAUUUCCCGGGAUGCCAGAAUGACAGAAGUCAGCUUUUCUUAAUGAAAAGCCUUUUAUCUUUUGCCGAGUAAGUCAAAAUAUCAGCCUGUGCUCCUCUGGAUAUACUUUACUGGAAGCAUAUGGUCAUUUAACAGCAGAAUUAAAUACAGCUCUCAACUUUCUGCUAAAUAUCAGUACUUUAAAUUAUAUCACUUGCUACACAGAUUGCCUAAGAACCAACUUUGUCAGCAUCUACAAGAUAGUAGAGAUUCCAGCAAGUCCUGAUUUCUUAUUUUACUGCUAUUAUUGCAACUGCCUUGAAUUCUUAUGUCAGGUUUAGCCACAUACCUGCUAACGAGGGUUAUGGCACUGCAAUACCUGUUUCAACAGUGAAAAAUAAUACUGCAAUAAUUUCUACAGUGUUAAGAACAGAGCUGUUUAUGCUGCUUUUAAUUGCUGGAGCCUCCGCCUGUAGCUGCUGCUACUCGUGUCUUCUACUACAGUUAGCAGGAUGCGCCACGGCCAUGGAUGGGUAGCAGUGCCACGUAGGCAUGCUCACAAAGGUCUCAAUUACGAUGUCCUGUCCCAGCCCACCAGGGAGAAAGUCCGUGCCCCAGAGCCACCACUCUGAGCAAAGCUGUAGGAUCAGGUCUUCAGGUAAGUAAUGGGUUAAAGAAUAAGGGCUUUUUGAUAACAGACAGAUCUUAAGUGACAAUUUUUGAAGUCAUUUCAGAUGAUUUGAGCCCACUGAAGAUGCAGUUCUGUUCAUUCAGUUUGACAGCGCAGGGGAGGGAAUCAAUCUUCAAAGCAGCAGCGAGAAAUCAAUGCAACCUUUUUCAGAACAAAGCUAGCACAAAAAGGUAGAGACAAAUACAACAUGGCAGAAGCCAGAAUGCACCUCGGCAUUUUUUCACUGCAAGUGCUAACUAGAGGUCAGGAUGGGGGGUGGGCGGAUGGCUUAGUGCAUGCUCAAGAACACUUUUCAAAGCAGCAACAUGGAUUUCACAUGCCUUUGUAUUCCCAGCCGCAUAGCUUUCGGAUCAUGAGAAGCCAAAGGGCUUCCCGUCCUGGCGAUGCAGCAAUCACAGCUUGCCCUGCCUUGGGAUUAACUCCUCACACCACGUUUUAUUUUUUACCACGUCUCCCACCUGUUCCCUUGACAAGAAGCUACGUUAUUAAAAUCCCACGGCUUUGGCAAUGCUGGCGCUAUUAGGAGAAAUACAGACUGCUUGUUCUCCUUGCAUAACUCUCCUGUCGUUUUCCUCCCUGCAGCGACUCCGCUCUCUUCCUCUGCACGUAGCGGGCUUCUCUUUUGCACAACUCGGCUACCAAAGCAGCUCCCUGUUUUACAGCCUGUGCAGAUAAAUACCUGUGAUACUUAACCCAGACUUGUAUACCCUCGUGUGCGUAUGACUGUUUACAUAUACACUUGUGAGAUGGGAAAUAAACAAGCUAUCAACUUUU